UCCCUUGUGGCUUAGCUGGUAAAGAAUCUGCCUGCAAUGCAGGAAACCUGGGUUUGAUCCCUAGGUUGGGAA
rnacentral:tRNA from 1 species